CCUAAAUCCUAAACAAACAAAUGAGAUAAUAAUUUGAUAUGUUUAAUAGCAACUCGAUAGGUUUUAAAUUCAAUGACAAUUGAAAAAACAUUAUAAAGUUGCAAUAGAGACACCUAACCUCAGUAUUGUUCUAUUGGCGAUUCCUUUUCAUUUUUGGGUAAAUUUCAGUUGGGGUCCCCAACCUUCCGAUGGUGGCACCUAGGUCCCCAACUUAUACAAUAGUGUGUGCAUCACUCCCAACUGAUCGAAAAAUGCUUUUUAAGUUGUUAAGUCAACAAGCGACAUAUCCCCUAAGGGUAAAAAUGUUAAACAAUUUUUUUUUUUUUUUUUUUUUGUAAAUACCUUCCCUAAGUAACCUUUUGUAAAACUACUUUAUUACUUAUAAGGCUAUAAACGUUCAUAGCACAAUACUCUAUUUUCAAAUCCCAAAAGCCACACGAGUCAUCAUAUACCAAUUACUUUGGAUAGUUUCUAUUUUAAGAGACAUUACAUGUAUGUGUGGCAUGUUGAUUUAAGGCCAAAAUGAUGUUUUCCUAUCGACGGUAGAUGACGCCUGUCACAAGAGGAAGGUCAGGAAUUUAUCUUCACAGUUAGCAAAUGUUGGGGACCGCAGCUGGAAUUUUGCCUAUUUUCUUCUUCUUGGUUUUAUUUUUAUGAAACAAGGCAAUGCUUUUGGUCGUGCUGAAAAAAUGAUUUUUUCAAUUAUUUUUCAAUAAAUAAAUAAAUAAAUAAUGCCAAUAUUGUACUGUGUACCAUGAAGAAUAUUCAAAAUAUGGUAUGUCAU
rnacentral:lncRNA from 1 species